UCUAAAUUAGCUAAAAGAUUUUUUUGCAUGUAACUUUAUUGAAGAAUAAAAAUUUCUAAAAGAUUUAAAUUUUAUUUUCAGUGAUUAAUAUUUAUUAAAAUUAUUAAUAUAAUUUGAUAAAUUUUUUUAAAAUCAGUAAAAUGUUAUGCCAGCAUUCGCGGUUAUAUUUCAUGAUUGAGUUAAUUAACUUAUUUGAAUUCAAAUAAUUUUUUAAAAUUUUUUUAAUUUAGGUAAAAUUUAUUAAUAAUUUAAUUAUUUUUUUGAUUAAUCUAUUUUUUAAACCAGGAUUAGAUACCCUGUUAUUUUAGACAAAUCAGUUUUUGGAUAGUAGUUAUUUAAAAAAUGAAACUUAAACAAUUUGGCGGUUUUUAAAUCUUUUUAGAGGAACCUGUAACUUAAAUGAUAAUCCACGAUUAAUUUUACCAAAUUUUUUUUUGUAUAUCUCUGUCGUUGAUUAUAAUGAAAAUUAAUUUUCUGGUUUUAUCUUUAAAUUUAUGUUAGGUCAAGGUGCAAUUAUAAUUUGGUUUUUAUGGGUUACAAUAAAAUUUUAUAGAAAAAUUUGGAUUUUAGAAUUUGGUGUUUAAAUGAAUUUGGAUUUAAAAGUAAAUAAUUUUUUUAAACUUUUUGAAUUAAGUUCUUAUUAAUGUACAUAUCGCCCGUCAUUCCCGAAAAUUGGGACAAGUCGUAACAAAGUAGAUGUACUGGAAAGUGUAUCUAGAAA
rnacentral:ncRNA from 1 species